GGGGAAUAUUGGACAAUGGGCGCAAGCCUGAUCCAGCCAUGCCGCGUGUGUGAAGAAGGCCUUCGGGUUGUAAAGCACUUUUGUUGGGGAAGAAAACCCUAUGGUUAAUACCUGUCGGGAAUGACGGUACCCAAAGAAUAAGCACCGGCUAACUUCGUGCCAGCAGCCGCGGUAAUACGAAGGGUGCAAGCGUUACUCGGAAUUACUGGGCGUAAAGCGUGCGUAGGCGGUUGGUUAAGUCUGCUGUGAAAGCCCUGGGCUCAACCUGGGAACUGCAGUGGAUACUGGCCAGCUAGAGUGUGUCAGAGGAUGGUGGAAUUCCCGGUGUAGCGGUGAAAUGCGUAGAGAUCGGGAGGAACACCAGUGGCGAAGGCGGCCAUCUGGGACAACACUGACGCUGAGGCACGAAAGCGUGGGGAGCAAAC
rnacentral:rRNA from 1 species